GACGAACGCUGGCGGCGUGCUUAACACAUGCAAGUCGAACGGAAAGGCCCUGCUUUUGUGGGGUGCUCGAGUGGCGAACGGGUGAGUAACACGUGAGUAACCUGCCCUUGACUUUGGGAUAACUUCAGGAAACUGGGGCUAAUACCGGAUAGGAGCUCCUGCUGCAUGGUGGGGGUUGGAAAGUUUCGGCGGUUGGGGAUGGACUCGCGGCUUAUCAGCUUGUUGGUGGGGUAGUGGCUUACCAAGGCUUUGACGGGUAGCCGGCCUGGGAGGGUGACCGGCCACACUGGGACUGAGAUACGGCCCAGACACCUACGGGAGGCAGCAGUGGGGAAUAUUGCACAAUGGGCGGAAGCCUGAUGCAGCAACGCCGUGUGCGGGAUGACGGCCUUCGGGUUGUAAACCGCUUUCGCCUGUGACGAAGCGUGAGUGACGGUAAUGGGUAAAGAAGCACCGGCUAACUACGUG
rnacentral:rRNA from 1 species